AGAGUUUGAUCAUGGCUCAGAUUGAACGCUGGCGGCAGGCCUAACACAUGCAAGUCGAGCGGAAACGAGUUGUCUGAACCUUCGGGGAACGAUAACGGCGUCGAGCGGCGGACGGGUGAGUAAUGCCUAGGAAAUUGCCCUGAUGUGGGGGAUAACCAUUGGAAACGAUGGCUAAUACCGCAUGAUGCCUACGGGCCAAAGAGGGGGACCUUCGGGCCUCUCGCGUCAGGAUAUGCCUAGGUGGGAUUAGCUAGUUGGUGAGGUAAGGGCUCACCAAGGCGACGAUCCCUAGCUGGUCUGAGAGGAUGAUCAGCCACACUGGAACUGAGACACGGUCCAGACUCCUACGGGAGGCAGCAGUGGGGAAUAUUGCACAAUGGGCGCAAGCCUGAUGCAGCCAUGCCGCGUGUGUGAAGAAGGCCUUCGGGUUGUAAAGCACUUUCAGUCGUGAGGAAGGUAGUGUAGUUAAUAGCUGCAUUAUUUGACGUUAGCGACAGAAGAAGCACCGGCUAACUCCGUGCCAGCAGCCGCGGUAAUACGGAGGGUGCGAGCGUUAAUCGGAAUUACUGGGCGUAAAGCGCAUGCAGGUGGUUUGUUAAGUCAGAUGUGAAAGCCCGGGGCUCAACCUCGGAAUUGCAUUUGAAACUGGCAGACUAGAGUACUGUAGAGGGGGGUAGAAUUUCAGGUGUAGCGGUGAAAUGCGUAGAGAUCUGAAGGAAUACCGGUGGCGAAGGCGGCCCCCUGGACAGAUACUGACACUCAGAUGCGAAAGCGUGGGGAGCAAACAGGAUUAGAUACCCUGGUAGUCCACGCCGUAAACGAUGUCUACUUGGAGGUUGUGGCCUUGAGCCGUGGCUUUCGGAGCUAACGCGUUAAGUAGACCGCCUGGGGAGUACGGUCGCAAGAUUAAAACUCAAAUGAAUUGACGGGGGCCCGCACAAGCGGUGGAGCAUGUGGUUUAAUUCGAUGCAACGCGAAGAACCUUACCUACUCUUGACAUCCAGAGAACUUUCCAGAGAUGGAUUGGUGCCUUCGGGAACUCUGAGACAGGUGCUGCAUGGCUGUCGUCAGCUCGUGUUGUGAAAUGUUGGGUUAAGUCCCGCAACGAGCGCAACCCUUAUCCUUGUUUGCCAGCGAGUAAUGUCGGGAACUCCAGGGAGACUGCCGGUGAUAAACCGGAGGAAGGUGGGGACGACGUCAAGUCAUCAUGGCCCUUACGAGUAGGGCUACACACGUGCUACAAUGGCGCAUACAGAGGGCAGCCAACUUGCGAAAGUGAGCGAAUCCCAAAAAGUGCGUCGUAGUCCGGAUUGGAGUCUGCAACUCGACUCCAUGAAGUCGGAAUCGCUAGUAAUCGUGGAUCAGAAUGCCACGGUGAAUACGUUCCCGGGCCUUGUACACACC
rnacentral:rRNA from 1 species